GGGGGUUCAACGCGUUUGUCGCUCGUGCGCCAGGCCAAGCCUGGGUGAGGAGG
rnacentral:misc_RNA from 1 species